rnacentral:misc_RNA from 1 species
AUACUCAAAGACAACACAAGCAGAGCAGAGGCCGGAUGAAUGGCCAUGUUUUCCAGGAGGGUGGUACCCACUCUGUCUCAUUUAUUCAACAGCCCACCCAAUCACUAACUUCAUCAAAAGAUCCAAGCAACCAGCGGGCUGGGCAGGCUAAUUAUGUACCAAAUGCUCGUACACGUGAAGCAGGCAAAGGAUCUGGAGUCUCAUAUGCUGUUCCAACUUCACUCGGCCCUGCAUCUCAAGGAUCAGAGAUGCUGAGUAGCAUGCUUGCUGCUGCUUCCCCCGAGGAGCAAAAACAGAUUCUAGGG